GCUGGGAUAGCUCAGUUGGUAGAGCAGGAGACUCUUAAUCUCAGGGUUGUGGGUUCAAGCCCCACAUUGGGCA